ACCAGAUGAGUCCCUAGCCGCUCUUGUGAAAGAAUUAAAUUUCUGCCUUACCAAGCAACCCCUUAUACCUGAACAGACUGUAUGUCUUUAUGAGAUGAUUAUGUUAUUGAUCACCCUGUGGAUGCCCAUGAAGCUGCUCCUGGGAUCUCAGACACAGCCUAGAGCUAUUUCCUGUCCAAGUGAAUAAGUGGAGUGAUGUUUAUUCAAUAAAUACAAGUUUCUACUGAGUCCACGUGUACCGAGGAAGGCAUAGGGAAGAGGGCUCAGGUAAAGUUCAGCAUUGUCACCAGAUUCUGAUGGAUCCCUUUCACCGACUCUGUGUGCUUCUGAGGGCUUUGCUGAUGACUGCUCACACCUGCGACCUUUUUCAGAGGAUUGCCUAGGGUGCAGAAGCCCAUGGGGUGCGGGGUGGUGUUCCAUCCCACAGCCAGAAAUGCCUGGGGGCGUAUGUCCCCUGCCCCUCAUUGUGGCCCAUAGCAGGUGACUGAAUGGCAUGCAAGUACAAAAGCCCAGCUCCUAUACCCGAAGCUGGAUGUGAUCUAGGUGUAACUUAGGCCCCAGAGUUCCCUGCAGGAUCAAGUGGAGGCUGAGAUUUCACCAGAAAUUGUACUUUUGUUUUUUCCUCUUCUAUCCUUCUUGUCCCAUGCCCUUACCGGUGUUUCUCGGAGCACCUUUUUUUUAAUUGCAUUUUUUUUUGAUGUGGUUUAUAGUAUGAGAGGUUUUUUUUUGUAUUUUUCAUACGUUUAUUUAUACUUUAAAAUAAUGAGUGACAGUGAUUAUAUAUACAGUGAAUAAAUUUUCUACUUAGGGUGAUACUGAACAUUUCAGAGGUUUUCUGUAACACAAGAGAUUUAAGAAUAAAGGCAUGGGUUAUUAUUAUUAUCAAACAAUAUAUUGUGACAAGAUUGCAUAUUUCAAUAACAUCUAAAAAUGAUCUAUACCUCAUAUGGACAUCUAAUAAUAGAAAACAUUGAAUUAAGUGAACAUUAAUAUAAAUGUCCAAUAAAAAUCAUUUAAAAAUGGAAAGAUAAUGCCACAAAUAGUUGAUAUAUAAAAAUCAUCAUUUUUUUUAUUAUAUAAGUUUCAGGUGUACAGCAUUAUAGUUCAACAUGUGUAUACACUACAGAGUCAUCACCGUCACAAAUCUAGUUACCAUCCAUCACCAUACAGUUGAUCCCCAACAUCCUUCUCCUCUGGUAACCCUUUAACUGCUCUCUGUAUCUAUGAAUUUGUUUUUGUCUUAUUUUGUUUGUUCAUUGUUGUCUUUUGCUUGUUUCUGUUUUUAGAUUCCAUGUAUGACAAAACCAUUUGGUGUUUGUCUUUCUCUGUCUGACUUAUUUCACUUAGCGUAAUGCCCUCAAGGUCCAUCUAAGUUGUUGCAAAUGGCGAGGUUUCAUUCUUUUCUGUGGCUUACAAAAAAGACGCACACACACAUAUAUACCGCAUCUUCUUUAUCCGUUCAUUCAUCGAUGGGCCCUUACAUGGUUUCCAUACCCUGGCUAUUAUAAAUAAUGCUGUUAUGGACAUAGGGGUGCAUAUAUCUUUUUGAAUUAGUGUUUCCAUUUUCUUUGGAUAAAUAUCCACAAGUAGAACAGCUGGGCCAUGUGGUAUUUGCAUACUUAAUUUUUUGAGGAGCCUCCAUACCGUAUUCCAAUGUGGCUACACCAUUUUACAUUUGCACUAACAGCGCAUGAGGGAUCCCUUUUCCCCACAUCCUAUCCAACGUUUGUUAUCCCUUGUCUUUUGGAUGAUAGCCAUCCUGAGAAGUGUGAGGUGGUAUCUCAUUGUGUUUUUAACUUACAUUUCCCUGAUAAUUAGUGAUGUUGAGCAUCUUUUCGUGUACCUGUUGGCCAGGUACAUGUCUUCUUUGGUAAAAUGUCUAUUUAGAUCCUCUGCCCAUUUUUCAAUCAGUUUGUUUAUUUUUUGUUGUUGUUGAGUUGUAUGAGUUCUUUAUAUAUUUUGGAUAUUUACCCCUUAUCAAACACCUGAUUUGCAAAUAUCUUCUCCUAUUCAGUAAGUUGCAUUUUCACUUUGAUGAUUGUUUCCUUUGCUGUGCAGAAACUUUUUUGUUUGAUGUAGUCCCACUUGUUUAUUUUUGCUUUUGUUUCUCUUGCCUUUGGAGUCAGAUCCACAAAAACAUCACUAAGACGAUGUCAAUGAAGUUACCACCUAUGUUUCCUUCUAGGAAUUUUAUGGCUUCAGGCCCUACAUUCAAAUCUUUAAUCCAUUUUGAGUUAAUUUUUGUGUAUGGUCUAAGAUAGUGAUCUAACUUCAUUCUUUUGCAUGUGGCCCUCCAGUUUUCCUAUUACCAUUUAUUGAAGAGAUUGUCCUUUCUCCAUUGUAUGUUCUUUGCUCCUUUGUCAUAGAUUAAUUAUCCAUAUAUGGGUGGGUUUAUUUCUGGGCUCUCAGUUCUGUUGUAUUGAUCUAUGUGUCUGUUUCUGUACCAGUACCAUACUGCUUUGAUUACUAUAGCUUCAUAGUAUAGUUUGAAAUCAAGGUGUGUGAUACCUCCUGGUUUGUUCUUCUUUCUCAAGAUUAUUUUGGCUAUUUGGGGUCUUUUGUGGUUCCUUACAGGUUUUGGAAUUAUUUGUUCUAGUUCUGUGAAAUAUGCCAUUGGCCUUUUUGAUAGGGAUUGCAUUGAAUCUGUAGAUUGCUUUGGUCAGAGCAUCUUUUAAACAAACCCCCUACAUGCAAAUCCUUAGCUCAAGCUCUGCUUCCAGAAGAACCCCACCUAAGACAGCCACAGUUUUCCAUCUGUGCCUUUGAAUAGAUCAUUUCUUUUAACACUUUGUUUUGACCACAGAUCCCUUUCUAUGCAUGAAGUUCUAUGAGGAAUCCAGAAGGCCUAACAGACAGAAGUGGAGCUGCUGAAGUCAGAAUGGGGUAGAGGCUCUUUGGCUUCUCCCACUAUUCCCAUCUGCCUUCUCGACUUUGCAAGCAGCUCCCGAACUGCCCUGUGGACGCUGCACCCCAUUCCCAUCCCCUUGGGGUUCCAUGGAUGCAGUGUGAGACCUCUGGCCUGGACUGUAAUGCCCCUCAGCUCUGGUUCCAUGAUUUCCUUGGCAUCAGUGCUGGUAAUUGUUACAGCAGUUCCAGGCUGGGAGUGUCCCCAUGCUCCCGAGCCCAGGGUACCUCUGACGGGGUUACCACUGUCCUCAUUGGGGCUUUACCCCACUGGCAGUGUCCUCCUGGAAGGCAAAGCUUCUGGCCAAUCCUACAGCCCCACAUUCUUCUCUGAGAUCCCAAGUGUGAAGGAGGUUUCCACAAACUGGGGCCCCACAGAGUUUCUGAUUAUUGUUUCAAAUUUGUGCCCCCCCAGAUUUAUGUCCAUGGAUUUAACUCCUGAUAAUCCAAAGACAAGCAUCUUUGGAGUGGACCUUCAGGAUCUGGGUCCCUGGAUGUGAAACAGUUGGGGCAUCCCAAGGAGGCAUAUGAGGGGUCUACUCAGCCGGCCGGAGUGAGCACAUGUCUCACUCAGUCAAGAUAUUGGUUGUGGGAGAAAUGGAAGGGAAGGAGCAGGGGCUGAGUUUGUUUGGCAUUAAGAUGAUCCACAUUCUUCUCCUGAUGAUGAUAAUGACCCUAUUAUUGAUCCCUUUUACAUUUAUUGGGGGCCUUAUUAUGUGCCAGGCAUUGUGCUGAAAGCAUCUAAUCUUCACAACUGCCCUGGGAAGUAGAUUCUAUUCUCAUUCCCAUUUUACAGAUGAAGAAACAGAGGCUUAACAGUUUGUGCAAGACCUCAUAGCUAAUAUAUUGGAGGCAGUUAAAACCCAGGUGGUCUGACUCCAGACCACCUCCUCCUGCGGGAAGCAUGCUCUGAUGUCUUCCCAGACACACUCAGGAGAUGGCCUGCAUGCACGUGUGUGGACAGGUAUGUGUGUGCGUACAUGCAUGUGUGCAGGAUCGAGGACGAAGGGGGGUUGGAGCACAAGCAGGAGAGAGGAAGUAUGAUCUCUUUGCUGUGUGUGGGCCCCGUGACUGCAGUCAGGCAAAGCACUGGCCUGCUCUAGCUCACUUUUAUGUUUUUAUUUAGAAGCUUCAAUACCAGAGCUGAUGGCAGAAAAUGUGCAGUAAAACACGGGGAGGCCGCUGGGUAAUGGCCCCUGUAAAGUGUUAAUUGCCUAUUGAGACUGCAGACUUUGUCGAUGCGUGGGGAUCUGAGCUAUCGACAGGCCCUUAUUUAUUUCAGGCGCGCAAAGCGGGCUCCUCCUCCGAACAGGCUUCCAAUCAGUCACGCUUCCCUGGGCCCCGCCAAGAAGUGCCAGUCGAUAAGUCUGCCUGCUGCCUUAACCCUUUGAAGCUGGUGGUGGGUGUAGGGCUGUCUUAUCCAAAUGCUCUUCACAGGGCAGCCUCCACCCACAGUGGUCUUGAAGGAAAAUCCCGGAAGAUCAAUGCUGACCCCACGCCGGGCAGGGAGCUGUGAGCUUUCUGGGAGUUUUCUCUGAUGCUUGCCACGUGGAGAGGUGGGUAGUGCCCAUCUGUAUGGAGGGGACAGCCUAGGCUCAGAGAAGCUGAGUGAAAGUCUAGUCAUCACAACUAGCACGUUGCCAACUGUUAUGGGCUGAAUUGUGUCCUCCACCCUCAUUCAUAUAUUGAAAUCCUAACCUCCAAUACUUUAGAAUGGAGAAAGCGUCUUUAAAGAGGUGAUUAAGGUUAAAUGAGGUCAUUAGGAGAGGUCCUAAUCCAAUAUGACAGUGUCCUUAUAAGAGGAGGAGGUUAGGACACAGACACACACAGAGGGAAGACACAGGGAGAAGAUAGCCACCUACACACCAAGGAGAGUGGUGACAGAAGAAAUCAACUCUGUUGACACUUUGAUCUGAGACUCCUGGCUUCCUGAAGUGUGAGAAAAUCAAUUUCCUUUGUCUAAGCCACCCAAAGUGUGGUACUUUACGGCAGCCUGAGCCAACUAAUACAAAUUCCAAACAGUUGGCCAAGAGUACAGGUUGAGAGUAUCGCAGAGGAAGGGCUCUGAGAGUGGCAAAGCCUGGACCCAAAGCAACAGUUAUUGGAGGAGGUGUCGGCAUGCUAUUCCUCUGACAUGAUCAGAUUUGCCCUCUGAAGGAAAAGACCACUCAGGUUACUGUGCAGGGAGAAUAGGUGGUAGGACGGAAGAGCAGAGCAAGGAGACAGAGGGGGCUCUGCACACCAGGCAAGAUGGCGCUUGACCGAGGGUGGUGGCAAUGGAGAAUGAAAGGCGUGGACCGAUCUGAAAUAGACUUUGAGAUGGAAUUGAUAGAAUUUGCUGAUGGAUUGGGAGUGGAGGUGAGAGCGAAGGAGUUGACAAGGAUGGUGCUCUGGUUUCUGGCUUGAGCAAGUGAGUCUUUGCAGGAGCUAUUUACCAGGAGGGAAAGCAAGAAGAGAAAUCAACUGGGUGGCAGAUGGUCAUUUGCUUUAAGUGAGCUCUCCUUUGGAGAGUGUAAAUUUAUGGAAUGAAGGUUGUAGGAAUCUAUUCAGUCCUUUCCCCACACCUCUUGCCCACAGAUGACUUUUGUAUGAACCAGAAAUGAUGUGGUUGCUUUUUCUACAUCAGAACUAGACUGUAGUUUGUCAAGGAUGACAUCAAGUUUCCCAAGUCCUCUUCAAAGCCCUAUCGCUAGUUCUCCCCCUCAACGUAUGCCUUUGAAAUCUACAUUUGGUCUUGUAACUUCUGUAUAAGGCAUAUAUUUUCUCGUAUAAUAUUUAUAACAUAAAAUUUAUCAUUUAAACCCUUUUAAGGUGUACAAUGCAGUGGCAUUAAGUACAUUCAUAAUGUUGUACAACUAUGAACAUCUAGUUUCAGAACUUUUUUUGGGGGGGGUGGCGCUGCACAGCUUGUGGGAUCUUAGUUCCCCCACCAAGGACUGAACCCGGGCCCCUGGCAGUGAGAGCACAGAGUCCUGACCACUGGACAGCCGGGAAAUUCCCCUAGUUUCAGAACUUUCAAUCACCCCAAAAGGAAACCCUACCCAUUAAGCAGUCACUCCCCACUCCCCAUAACAUCUGGCAACCACGAAUAUGCUUUCUGUCUCUAUAGAUUUACCUAUUCCGGACAUUUCAUACAAAUAGAAUCAAAUACUAUGUGGCCUUUUGUGUCUGACUUUUUCGCUUACCUUAAUGUUUUCAAGGCUCAUCAAGAUGUAUCAUCCGCUGAUCCAUGUUGUGGCAUGUAUCAUACUUCAUUCCUUUUUAGAGCUGAAUCAUACUCCAUUGUAUGUAGAUACCACAUUUUGUUUAUCCAUUCAUCAGUUUUUGAUCAUUUGGAUUGUUUUUCCUUUUGGUUAUUAUGAAUAGAGCUUCUGUGGUUGUGUGUGUACAAAUUUUGGUUUAGAUAUCUGUUUUCAGUUCUUUUGGUAUAUACCUAAGCGUGGAAACACUGGAUCGUAUGGUAAUUCUAUGUUUAACUUAUUGAGGAAUCUGUACAAGGCAUUUUGAAGAUAACUGUUAGCUCCCAUUUUAGAGAGGAGGAAAGGAGGCCCAGAAUGACCUUAACCAUCAUCUGUACAUUGUCAAUUCUCAGCUCUUUAACUCCUGCCUAAGUGUCCUUCAUGGUCUUUACACUCACACAUAUGAUGCCUGGUGGACGUUUCUACCUGGAUAUCUCACAGUGCCUCAAGUGCAGUGUGUCUGAAAUGGAACACACCAUCUCCUUUUCUUCAUCCCCAGAACAGCUCAAUUUCCUAUUUCCCAUCUCAGUGAGUGACACCACCAUCCCAUCACUUGGCCAUCACCUUUGGCCUCAUAAGGGAUGGGAUGAUUAUUAACUGUGUGACUGUGGACAAGUUAUCAAUCUCGCUAUGCCUGGUUUCUUUGUCCAGAAAGUGGGAGGUAAUCUCAUUGCGCUGUGUGAGAAUCAAGUAGGACCUCUCUGUGUUUGUCUCUGUUUCUGGCUCUGUCUCUCUCUCAGCAAGGUGUCUGGCACACACCGUGAGCUCAACACAUGUUAUUAUGACUUUGAACACUUUUUGGGUGAGAUGUGUUAGCAUCCCGUGGAAAUGGUGUCUAAAGGAAUGCAGUUGAGGGAAACGGUGAACUUUAACAAUGCAGCAUCAGCAAUACCUCGGUUCUAUGGAAUCAGAAUACUGAGGGGUGAAGCCCAGGAAUCGGUGCAGUUAACGAAUGCCCCAGGUAAUUUUGAUGCUUGGCCAAGUUUGGAAACCCAUGCAUUCAGCUAAUUAUAUUCUGUUAGUAGCAAAUGCCUUAAAAACAGAUUCAUUUCAAUCAAACAUAAAUUUCACUGUUUCCCUCCCUGAAUCUAAUAAAAGCAUCAAUCCAUGAACCUUCAGAUAGGUCUCAGUUUCUUCUUGCUGCUUCUGUUGAUCUUGGGCAGCCUUCCCUACCUGUCCCCCACUAGAGUUGUCUUUUAUCAAGUUGUGUCUUUGCUGUUAGGGCUGAAAGUGUCUGGAUACCAUUGGCUAUAAUGCUGAGUACUUUGUGACUCACCUUGCGCUGUCCUUUGGAAAGCGCUGCUGGUCCUGACCCAUCAUAGGUUUUAUUGUGCAGAGCCUAGGUUCAGAAAACAUUAGGGACAGAGGGAGAUGUUAACUAGAGUUUCAAGGGGAAAAAAAAGUGUUUCGUGUGCAAAUGAGCUUGGAGAACACAGGGUUAAACACAGUGACCCAGGUUCCUUUACUGCAGGACUUCUCAGAGCCUUGAAUAUGGUAAUGAGUGCUGGGUAUCCUAAUGUGCAAAUUGAUCUACAACUUCAAGUGACCCAGGCUGGACAGGAGAGAGGCUUCCCAAAUGGAAGAGUUUCUGGGUGGUUAGUUUCAACAGCCUGAUCUCUUUUGUCAGGGGCAGAAGCAAAACUUAGAGGAAGCUUUCCUGAGGCUCUGUGAUGAGGAAGGGAUCAACAUGGGGAAGUGGUGGUGGUGGUGAGGGGAUAUUGGGCACUGAGCAUGGAGAUCUAUCCAUUGAUCCAUUUUGAUCAAUAUCCAUCAAUAUCCUUAUGCCCUGACUAUAUGUCUCAUUCUCUGGCUCUGAAAAGAGCUACUUUGGCUUCUAGUGAAGGCAUGCUAGACCUUCUAAUGACCUGGGCACUGGGGCUGCCACCAUGCCACCUGCCUCCAGUGCCACGUAGAUGACUGAGCCCCACUUCCCACCAUGUUGAAUUGUGUGUACAUCUUUCUCUUCCAUUAUGAGCCACUUGAGGGCAGGUCCUAUGUCUUAUUUUUCUUUCUUCCAACCCGCUAUCACAGUGCCAGGCACACAGCUUGUGUCCGUCAGUGUUUCCUUGCCUGUGCCUUUUGUAGGCAGGGAAGAGAAAGGAAGCAGGCAGGGAAGAAAGAACUCUUGAGAGGCAAAGCAGCUGGUAAAUUCCCAGGGGCUGGAGGGAAUCAGGAGAGGGUUCGAAGCUCUUGGGGCCGCACAGCCGUUUCUCUCCAGAUGGUCACUGCUAGAGAGCACAGCGCACCUAGGCAGAGGGUCAGCUGAGCCCUGGCGCUGGCCCAGCCCAGCUCUGCUCAGCCCUCCCGCACCCGCCCACUUCUCCUAGCAACACCCCAGUGGGCAGUGGGGAUUUGGAUGAGGCUCAGCCCUGCCUCAGACACUUUGCAAUCUUAGGCCUAAUUAAAACACCACGGACGGUUUGAACCCCGCAUUAAAAUUUGAUGAGGAAUUGAUCAGCCAAGCAAACAGGAAAUUUAGCCGUGAGUGAAGGUAAUGUUUGCUCAAAUGUGUAAUGAGGCCCGUGGGGAAUAUUUGUGGGGACCUCAGUCAUGUCUGGAGCUAUUCCUGCUCUUCAAUUUCAUCUUCCCCAUGUGCCUCUCCCCUCAAAACGUACCAGGAUGCUUCCGGAGGGAACAGGAAACCAGAAAAGUUUUGAUUUGACUUAAAAGUUCCCUUUGAGAACCUGAGAAAAGCCUCAGCAGUGUGCUGUAACAGUAGCAUAGGUAGAGCAGAGCUGGGUGGGAGUCUUGGCUUUGUCAUUUGUCAGUUGGUGUUCGUAUUUUGUGAUAAUUGAUUUUGUAAUUAGUCAUGGACUACCCACUGUGUGUCAGCUCCAUGCUAAACCCUGCAGAUAGCCUGGUAUGCAAAAUAGUCAUGGUCUUUGCCUCCAUGGGGUAUGUAGUUGAGUAAGAGAGGCUAUGAACCUCAAUUUCCCCACCUGUAAAAUGGGGGUGGUGGUAUCUUAUCAUGUGGGGUUAUGGGAUGAAUUAAAUGAGAGAAUAUACACAAAACAUAAAGGACAAGGCCUGCAUAUCUUAAGUGUCAAAUGAAGAUUCCUCUACACCCUCCCUCCCCAUAGCCUGCAUGUCAAGUCUUCCAGGCUUUUUUUUUUUUUGCGGUACGCGGGCCUCUCACUGUUGUGGCCUCUCCCGUUGUGGAGCACAGGCUCCGGAUGUGCAGGCUCGGCGGCCAUGGCUCACGGGCCCAGCCGCUCCGCGGCAUGCGGGAUCUUCCCGGACCGGGGCACGAACCUAUGUCCCCUGCAUCGGCAGGCGGGCUCCCAACCACUGCACCACCAGGGAAGCCCUUCCAGGGCUUUUAACAUUUUCUCCUAUUCAGUUUUCUGCAGGUGACCUGACUUGAUAUUCACUUACUUAUAUGUUCAUCGCUGGGAAGUGUAACUGAGAUUGAGGAUGAAGCAAGUCACAAGACUGAUCUACUUACCAGACCUGGGGACUGGUUCAGAAGUUCUACUAGAAAGAUCAGAUAGAAGGAAUUCUUGAGUUAUCUGGGAUAAGGGGAGUCUCUGAUGGAGAAAGUUGCUCCAAAGGUUAGGCAGACAGUCUGGAAGCUUAACACAUUCUUUGGACAUGCCAAAAUACCUUCACCAGGAGAAGAGAGGAGUCUGGAGUGAUUUCCCUUCUUUUCAGGCUUUCAUGAGGACACUUUACCCUAAGUGUCAGGUCUUUUCCUCUACACAUACAAUAUGUGUAAAUACAGCUUUAUUUUUACACAGUUGGGAUCAUAUUACAUAUUGUUUUGUAAAUUGUUCUGUUCACUGUGUUAUUUAAUGACUUCCUAAUAUUCUACAGUAUGGAUGAACCAUAUGUUAUUUACUCACUUCCCUGUUGUUUUAUAGUCAGGUUGUUCCAUUUGUUUGCCACCAGAAGUAACUUUAUGAUGAACGUUUUUGUAAAUAAACAUUUGUUCACAUUUCCAAUUAUUUCCUUGGGACGAAAUCCUUAAGUGGGUAUGAAUAAUUUCAGCAUCCUUGAUACAUAUUGCCAAAUUACCCUUUAGGAAUUUGAACAGAUUUAUACUCCCACCUGCAGUCUGUGAGAGCCUAAUGUGCUCCACUGUCACCAACGUUGAGUUUUCUUUAAUCUUUGCAAAUGUAAUAGAUUACAAAUGAAAUCACAUUAUGUCUUAAUUUGCAUUUCUUUGAUUAUGGGUAGGCUGAACCUUUUAAAUCUUCUUUAUUUGCCAUUUAUAGUUCUUCUUACGUGAACUUUCUCUGUCUGUCCUUGGACUCUGUUUCCCCUGUCUCAGCAUUUGUCUUCUUUUUUUUUUUUCGGUACGUGGGCCUCUCACUGUUGUAGCCUCUCCCAUUGCGGAGCACAGGCUCCGGAUGCUCAGGCCCAGUGGCCAUGGCUCAUGGGCCCAGCCGCUCCGCGGCAUGUGGGAUCUUCCCGGACUGGGGCACAAACCUGUGUCCCCUGCAUCGGCAGGCGGACUCUCAACCACUGUGCCACCAGGGAAGCCCAGCAUUUGUCUUCUUAUUGCUCUUAAGUGUGUUCCAACCCUUAAGAAACUUAAGGGUAUUAACUGUCACUUACGUUGGAAAUAUUUUUCUCAAUUUGCUGUUGAUUUUUAAAUUUCUCUAGUUAGGUCUAUCAAUUUUUUGGAGAUUUAUUUAUCUGCAUUUAUUCCUAGUGAAUUCUGGGAUCAGAUAAAUACUGAUUUCAGUUUUCUCCUACAGAUUGAAUUUAGGGCUUUUUGGUGGCUUUGACACAGAGCUCCUUACCUACCUUCAAGGAAAGAAGGGGCCUCAUUUAUUGGAACAGAGCAUCCUCUUUGGAUGAGACCACAACUUAGGGAAGGAGGGAAAUUGAGCAGCAAUGGAGGAUAGUUAAUUGUCAAGCUCAUCCAGGCAUCUGGCUCAGUCUGGUGACCUUGGGGUGGUGUGUGUCAUACUCUGUCCUUCUGAGCUUAUAGUUUCAUCAAUUUAAAUGUUCAUAGCAGCACUAUUUACAAUAGCCAAGAUAUAGAAGCAAUCUAAAUGUCCACUGGCAGAUGAAUGGAUAAAGAAGCUGUGGUGUAUAUUUAUACAAUGGAAUAUUACUCAGCCAUACAAAAGAAUGAAAUAAUGCCAUUUGCUGCAACAUGGAUGGACCUAGAGAUUAUCAUACUAAGUGAAGUGAGUCAGACAGAGAAAGACAAAUAUCAUAUGAUAUCACUUAUAUGUGGAAUCUCAAAAAAUGAUACAGGUGAACUUAUUUACAAAACAGAAAUAGACUUGCAGAUGUAGAAAACAAACUUAUGAUUACCAAAGGGGAAAGGGAGGAGGAAGGGGUAAAUUAGGAGUUUGAGAUUAACAGAUAUACACCACUAAUAUAUAAAAUAGAUAAACAACAAGGACCUACCAUAUAGCACAGGGAACUGUAUGCAAUAUCUUGUAAUAACCUAUAAUGGAAAAGAUUCUAAAAAAUAUAUAUAUAUUUGUAUAACUGAAUCACUUUGCUGUAUACCUGAAAUUAAUACAACAUUGUAAAUCAAGUAUACUUCAAUAAAAAUGUAAAUCUUUAAUCUA